GGUCGAGACUGGCAGCUGAGAGAUACCAAAAGGAAGAAAAAAGAAAACCAUUGCUCUUGAUAUUGCUAAUGCCGGGGGAGUCCGAGGGAGUGAGGACCCCGGGUCCAAGAGCUCAAUCCCGGCCCCGCCCCGUCGGCCCAGGCCCCGGGGCUGGGAGGAGAGGAUGCCUUCGGAGGCGCAGAAUCCGAAAAGAUGUGGUUGGAGCUGGAAGCUGUUAUCCUCAGCAAACUAAUGCAGGAGGAGAAAACCAAAUACUGCAAGUUCUCACUUAUAAGUGGGAACUGAAUGAUGAGAACAUUUGGACAUGAAGCUGGGCAGAGAAAUCGAGCUGCAAAAUGACCUACAGAUAUUACAGUUUUAUUCUUGGAAAAUGGAGGUUGUCUAUUAGUGUGAUGGUAACAACCAACUAAUAAAAUUUGGAGAC
rnacentral:lncRNA from 10 species